GAUGAACGCUGGCGGCGUGCUUAACACAUGCAAGUCGAACGGAAAGGCUCCUGCUUGCAGGGGUACUCGAGUGGCGAACGGGUGAGUAACACGUAGGUGAUCUGCCCUGCACUUCGGGAUAAGCCUGGGAAACUGGGUCUAAUACCGGAUAGGACCACAUUUUGGAUGGUGUGGUGGAAAGUUUUUCGGUGUGGGAUGAGCUCGCGGCCUAUCAGCUUGUUGGUGGGGUAAUGGCCUACCAAGGCGUCGACGGGUAGCCGGCCUGAGAGGGUGUACGGCCACAUUGGGACUGAGAUACGGCCCAGACUCCUACGGGAGGCAGCAGUGGGGAAUAUUGCACAAUGGGCGCAAGCCUGAUGCAGCGACGCCGCGUGGGGGAUGACGGCCUUCGGGUUGUAAACUCCUUUCGCUAGGGACGAAGCGCAAGUGACGGUACCUGGAGAAGAAGCACCGGCUAACUACGUG
rnacentral:rRNA from 1 species